rnacentral:rRNA from 1 species
GACGUAGGUGGCGAACGUUAUCCGGAAUCAUUGGGCGUAAAGGGUGCGUAGAUGGCAUGAUAAGUUAUUAGUGGGAAAUCGAGGCUCAACCUCGUGGAAGCUAGUAAUACUGUUUUGCUUGAGUACAGAAGAGGUUAAUGGAAUUCCAUGUGGAGCGGUAAAAUGUGUAGAUAUAUGGAAGAACAUCAAUAACGGCGAAGGCAGUUAACUAUUCUGUUACUGACAUUGAGGCACGAAAGCGUGGGGAGCAAAACGG